UACGAAGGGGGCUAGCGUUGUUCGGAUUUACUGGGCGUAAAGCGCACGUAGGCGGAUUCUUAAGUCAGGGGUGAAAUCCCGAGGCUCAACCUCGGAACUGCCUUUGAUACUGGGGAUCUCGAGUUCGGGAGAGGUGAGUGGAAUUGCGAGUGUAGAGGUGAAAUUCGUAGAUAUUCGCAAGAACACCAGUGGCGAAGGCGGCUCACUGGCCCGAUACUGACGCUGAGGAGCGAAAGCGUGGGGAGCGAACGAGG
rnacentral:rRNA from 1 species